GCCGUUCAGCAAAAUCCCGUCCCCAAGGCUGCGGAUGGUAUCGAAGAUCUCCUGCUCACGCGGAGAAAGCCGGGGGAGCCUGUUGAUGGAUUUAAGUUGGGCCGGCCUCCACCUGGGGUCAAACCCCCAGGACCGUUCAGAGCCCAGGAAGAAGAAUUUCUCCUUCCAACCAUGAAUGGAUGAGGGGGCACCAUGAAAAAGUGGCCGACCCACCCGGAGGGCGAUGUAGAGCCACUCCCCGUCUUCCGGGUUCGACUUGAAAAUAAAAAGUCGCCGGAAGACGUUGACAGAGGUAGGAAUCCCCUGUAGUAAACACAGUGACAGGAAACCCAUCACUGUCCUCCAAGCAUUUGGAGUAAGUUGCGCCGGAACCAACUGGCAUACCGCCAGCAACUCAUUCACAAAGCUGUGGAGAGGAAAUCGGAGGCCGGCCCCGAGUGACUCCGAGUGCACUCCGAUCCGGCCUACCGGAGGA
rnacentral:lncRNA from 1 species